rnacentral:ncRNA from 1 species
UAAUUUCAUAUAUUUCCUUCGUAUAUCCUCGAUAAUAUGGUUCGAAAGUUUCUACCAGGGCGCCGUAAAUGACCUGACUAUGAAGUGAG